UACGUAGGGUGCAAGCGUUAUCCGGAAUUAUUGGGCGUAAAGAGCUCGUAGGCGGUUUGUCGCGUCUGCUGUGAAAACUGGAGGCUCAACCUCCAGCCUGCAGUGGGUACGGGCAGACUAGAGUGCGGUAGGGGAGAUUGGAAUUCCUGGUGUAGCGGUGGAAUGCGCAGAGUAUCAGGAGGAACACCGAUGGCGAAGGCAGAUCUCUGGGCCGUAACUGACGCUGAGGAGCGAAAGCAUGGGGAGCGAACAGG
rnacentral:rRNA from 1 species